GACAGAUAAGAAAUAGAUAACAGAUCGAUAUCGAAAUAGAUAUAUUUCUAAUAUGCGAUACUUUUUCUUCAAAUGUGAAAAUAAAAAAGAAGACAGAAAUGUAGUAUCAAAUUUCUCUCUGAAAGUAUUAAAAUAUAACUAAAUCAAUAUCUGUCUUUUAAUUGGUAUAAGGCAUUAUAUGUGUAAAUCAUUUUGCACAGUGUAUUUUACGGUAAAAAUCAAUAUUCUACAGAGGAAUCGUAUUCAACAGUAUAAAACGAAUAAAAGAUGAUUUAUACGAAUACUGAAACUUUAGAAAGAAUAUGUAAUUCAAUAAUUUUUUAGAAAUUAUAAUAUUUGACAAUAUGUCCUAUUGUAUAUAAGGAAAUGUUUUAUUAUUAUAAGUAUUGUAAUUUAUGUAAUUACUAUUUACUAUACUGAUAGAAUAAUAAAUACAGUAUAGUAUCUGCAUUUAAAACAUUGCAUUUAUACACAUGUUAUUUUGAAGCAAAUGCAUAUAUAUGGCUGAUUAAACAUUUACUGUCCUCAUGUGAUCAUAGCACGUGAUCAUUGCUAAAAAGAUUCUAAUAAUUUCUUUGUUCACAGGAGUAGAAUUCCGUAAAUGUAUAACACAACAGUAAUAUUAGGAAGAAGCUACCGGAACACAUUCUUAGUAUCAAAAAUGUCUAGCGCAAUACAAAAUAAUUCUGUAGAAUUUUCUAUAAAAAAAAAAUUGACAGAUUCUUUAAAUCCAUCUUAUAUUGAAAUUAUAAAUGAGUCAUAUAUGCACAAUGUUCCUAAAGGAUCUGAAACACACUUUAAAGUAAUUGUUGUUUCUGAUAAGUUCAAAGAUAUACCAUUAAUUAAGCGCCACCGAAUGAUAAAUAAGUUAUUGCAAUCAGAGUUAGAAGGUGGCGUGCAUGCAUUAUCAAUUAUAGCCAAAACACUUGAUCAAUGGAAAGAGAAAAGUACUAUAACUCCAAGUCCAGCUUGUAGAGGGGGUUUUGGAAAAUGAACUUUUGAAAUUUAAACAUUGCAUAUUUAUAUCAAAAAGGAUAUCUGUUUAUACCAAUAUUCGAACUUCAAAUCGCGUACACGUAAUAUCUUCGUAUUAGAUGUGUUUUCUGAGGUUCUAAUUUAUGUGAUAAUUGUAUGCAAUUAAGGAAGUUAAAAUAAGAUAAAUUAAAAUAAAGUAUAUCAGCCAUGGAUUGUUCUGCUAUUGCUUCUUCUGCCCUAUCAUGCAUCUGCAAAAUACAAACGAUUUGUGAAAAAUUGUUCUGAAAAAUGCAAAGCUUAAUUUUUAUUAUUUUAUUUUGUUUUUAUCAAUAUAAUACAUACCCCUCU